rnacentral:rRNA from 1 species
AUUGAACGCUGGCGGCAGGCCUAACACAUGCAAGUCGAGCGGUAGAGAGGUGCUUGCAUCUCUUGAGAGCGGCGGACGGGUGAGUAAUGCCUAGGAAUCUGCCUAGUGGUGGGGGAUAACGUUCGGAAACGGACGCUAAUACCGCAUACGUCCUACGGGAGAAAGCGGGGGAUCUUCGGACCUCGCGCCAUUAGAUGAGCCUAGGUCGGAUUAGCUAGUUGGUGAGGUAAUGGCUCACCAAGGCGACGAUCCGUAACUGGUCUGAGAGGAUGAUCAGUCACACUGGAACUGAGACACGGCCCAGACUCCUACGGGAGGCAGCAGUGGGGGAAUAUUGGACAAUGGGCGAAAGCCUGAUCCAGCAAUGCCGCGUGAGUGAUGAAGGCC